CGACGGUAGUAUACAUACGACGUACCUGUCGUGGGGAUACUACCGAAGUUGUUAUACGGAUACGACUGAGGNUAAGCGGGGAACGAGGCCUCGCGCGAUAGAGCGCCGAUUUCGAUACUAUUUGUAGGUAAGCCUACCAGGGACAAUCGGUACUGUCUGAAAGGAUUAUCACCACCUGGACUGAAACACGCCCAAUUCCUACGGGAGGGCAGCAGUGGGGAUUUUGGACAAUGGGGGGCAACCCUGAUCCAGCCAUUCCGCGUGAGUAAGAAGGUCUUCGGGUUGUAAAGCUCUUUCGGCAGGAACGAAACGGUUCUCUCUAACAUAGGGGGCUAUGAACGGUACCUGAAGAAAAGCACCGGUUAACUACGUGCCAGCAGCCGGGUAAAUACGUAGGUGCGAGCGUUAAUCGGAAUUACUGGGCGUAAAGCGUGCGCAGGCGGUUUUGUAAGACAGAUUUUGAAUCCCCCGGGGCUAACCUGGGGAAAUUGCGUUUGGUGACUGCCAAGAAAUUGGAAUUGCCGGCCAAAAGGGGGGUUGGAAUUCCCCGUUUUACCAGUGAAAUUUGCGUUAAAAUUUUGGAGGGAACACCGAUUGGCG
rnacentral:rRNA from 1 species